rnacentral:piRNA from 1 species
UGCAUGUGUCUGGAAUUAAGA